GUUCUCUUGUGCUAAAGAAAAUACAUUGACCCACUAAAGAAAAGAGGGGCAAUAAAUUGUAUAAUACACUAAAAAAUUCAGCAUGAUUGCUUCGUCCAAUGUUUUUCCAAGUCAUUCCUGAUCAAGAAGUUGGAAUUCUUCAAAUCUAUGGAAGAUUAACAUGAGCUUUGUUCUUUUACUCAAACUAUAUUAUAUGUAAAUGUGUUUAUAAACACAUUGCUUUGCAUAUACUUUUUUUUUAUUCAUUAAAUAUUUUAUAGAUUUAAUAUUACACUUUGCUGAUGAUGGUUUCGAAUCUAAAUGAUACAAUGACACUUGAUGUCAAGCUAUACAUUCAAUAUUUUUUUUGCAAAAUAUAAAAUAAGGGAAAUGAUUCAAUUGUUGAAAUAGAUCACAUUAAGUAGAUUUCGUCCGAUUUUAUAAUUAUUUCAUACUUUCUCAUGUCUUUCUAAUAUAAAUGAAUGUUUAUUAUUAAAUUAUUACAUAUCUAUGAAAUGUGAAUGCUUAAAGCUUAGACCAUUUACAAUACAACAUUCUAUUUGAAUGUUUUGAGUGUUUGAAUGGGUCUCGAUUGUACAUGUUACCCGUUUUAUAAUUAAUACUUAAUAAUCAUUCAAUAUCUUCAAUCUAACACCACAAAAAAUGUAUUAAAUGGGUCCUAACGGUGACUAUAUUUCAUUAAAUUUUAACAAUAUUUUAUCUAUUCAUUCUUAAUUAUCUAAUUUUAAAAUAUUGAAUUAACUAAAUUAAAAGAUAAAAAAAUUAACUAUUUUUUAAAAUUUUAUUAAUAAUUAACCUACUAGGUUUAGCCUGAUGAUGUUGGUUUAAGAUCUUAGUGUGAUUCGAUUCUCUUCGUUAUCAAUUUGAGUGGAUUAAUUUAACUCCCUCCAAAAAAAUAUUAUCUUAAAUAACAAGUAAUCUUGCUGACUAUCUUAAAUGUUUAAGUAUUUGAUCAUUAAGAUAUAACCUAAUUUAAUGCAUGUUUGUUUUAGAUUGCAAUAGACGCUCUUUCUUGCUGAAAAAAGGUCAAUUUAAUUCUUAAACUAUCAUUAUCUCAUCAAUUUAGUAUACUAUAAACUAUUAAAUCAAUUAAAAGGUUUUUUUUUUACGUGGACUACGGAAAGCAUGUUAAUUUAAUUCCUAAACUAUUAUAAAAAACAAUCAAUUUUGUUAACUUGGGAACUAAAUAGUUAGAUGAGAAAAUAGUUUAGGGAUAUUUUAAUAGACUUUAAAUAGUUUAAGGAUUAAAUUGAUGAGAGAGUGAAAAUUUAUGAAUUAGUUUCUUUUAGGAUUAAGGAAUACUAGUGAAAGAUGACAUAGAUGAAAGAUGACUAGGAAUACUAGUUAAUUAACGUAACACAGCCAUAUUUGCAUCAAAUUUCAAUUGGUAUUGGCUCUUAUAGUAGUGAAAGAUGACAUAGGAAAAGUUCCUAGACAAUUACUAGUGAGUAGUGACAUUGCCAAUGUUAAGUUCUCGGCCUUUUGAAACCCUUUAUAAUUACGUGUUUCAAUUCAAUUUACAUCUAUGACUUGUCUCCAUCAUUUCUCCACAUGUUAUAAAACUGUCUGGUUGUAGAGAAGAUUGAUGGUAGAGAGAAGGAAAGAGAUGGGAAAUAUGAGGUUGGAAUGCUUGAUAAAAGAGUUGUGUUAUUUAAACAUCCAUAUAUGUGACAACUAAAAUUUUACAAAGGAAAUGAGGUAGUGACACAAAAACCAAAGCAAUAUAGAGAGAAAGUAAAAAAAUAAUGUGAGUAUGAGAGAGAAAGUUAUCACUAAAGUUAUAAAAAAAUGGUUGUUCAAAUACCAUUUCUCUUGAUAAAAAGGUGUAAGGUGAGACAGGAGCGGGGUUGUGGGACUAGAUAGGAUCUAGGAAAAGUCAUUCCUCAUGUAUACUCCCUCCAUCCCAUAAUAACUGAGCUAUUUGCAAAAAAAAAAGUGUCUCAAUAUAACUGAGUCAUUUCACUUUUCAAUACGAUAUUAAUUACUUUUUUCCUUUUAUAACUCUAAUUAAUACUACUUUCACAACUUCUAAUUCAAUAUAUUCCACUUUGCAUUUAUGAUAGUGGAGAAUGCACCAAUACUUAACAAGAUCACUUAAAAUCAUUUUUCUCUCUCAUUCAUUUAUAUAUUUGUCUUAAUAUGUGUGAAAAGAAAAAAUGACUCAGCUAAUUGGAGACGAAGGGAGGAAGACAUUGUUUCGGGUCUAUGGCACGACUCCAUCUCUGGUGCAUGACCUGUAUAGUGUAUAGAUCUCCUACUGUGAGAGACCUCUUAUUUACACGGUUGCACAGCUUGGCUACAAAAACAUACAACAUCUAAGGUGUAAAUUUAAGUUAUUCAACGAACAUAAUGCGACAUAAAUGAUAGAGAUACUUAGAUCUCUUAACCAUUUAGUUCAAGUUUGGUCCUUGACGAGGUGUAUGGAAAAACAUUUCAAUUACCUCAAAGAACUAAUUAGUCCCUACAAUUGCACGGAGCAUACCUUAAUUUCCCAAAGAUUAAAAUAGGAACAAGUUCUUAUCAAGAAAAAACAUUAGAAUAAGUUAGAUUGAAUACGUUACUCAUCAUAGCCGGCGGGCAUCUAUCCACACUAACGAAGUUUUUCUAUUUUAGCUGUUGCAUGUAACUACUAACUACUUUUUUAUUCCAUUAUGGUUGUGUUUGUAUAAAAACAGCACGAUUAGCCUAAUCAUAACCUUAAGGAUUGCAAUUAAACAAAUAUUAAUUAGAUGCCUAAAGAAUGCUUUCACAAUAAUGGAUAACCAUGGACAACAAUAUAGUUUAAAAGACAACAAUAUAUUAAAAAAAAAAAUGUGCUGAUUAAUCGAUGACAAAUACUUUGUUCUCUUGUGCUAAAGAAAAUACAUUGACCCACUAAAGAAAAGAGGGGCAAUAAAUUAUAUAAUACAAUAAAAAAUUCAGCAUGAUUGCUUCAUCCAAUAUUUCUCCAAGUCAUUCCUGAUCUAGUGAAGUUGGAAAUCUUCAAAUUCUGGAAUAUUAACCUGAACUUUGUUCUUUGAUUCUAACUAUACUAUAUGUAAAUGUUGGAUAGUAAUAACAGUUCAAAUUAAUUAAUUAAUAAAAUAAAUAAAUAAAACUUUGUCAGGAAAACCAAGAAGCUUUGACAUGGCUGCAUUUCACAUUCAUGCUACCAUCUGCUCCUGCUCUUUGUACAUCUGCUCCACCCAUGGUGGAAGCACGUCUCGACUCAGAUCAUAUUGCUGCAGCUGCCGCAUAUUCUCGGCUCCAUAUACGCCGGAAUUAUCAGAUGGAACAUCCUUAACCAAUGAAUUAACCCAUGAGACAUCAGGCUCAGCAUGUUGGGAUGCAGUUGGUGCUGCUGGUCCAUUAUUUCUGAACCCAAAAGAAGCGGAUUUCCUCAGCUUGUUCAGCUCGUCACCGUUUACACCCCAAUCGAGUUUCCCAGUGGGGGAACCCCAAUCUGAAAGGCCGGACGACACCCUGCAGGAAGGGUUGGAAGGCGGAGAAAGUCCAAGAUGGUGAGUUGCAGCGCCACGGUCAAUGAAACUUUGGCUGCGCUGCUUUGCGAAGGCAGCAGACCUGGAAUUCAUCACCGCAGCUGCUACGGCAGCCGAUGAAUCAAAUCCAUAUGGUGAGGGCUUCCUCACUGGAGAGGAAGGCAUAUUGUUUGAUGGAUAACUUGCACGAAGGUGGUUCAUGUUUUGGCCCAUGUUCAUGUUUUGGCGCAUCUGCAUUGCACUUGGAGAAUGCAUCUGUUGUGUGGGUGUCGAAGGUUGCAUGGAAAGUCCAUGUAAUUGAGAUAGUAAAUUGGGAUCGGCUGAUGCUAAUAGGUCAUCAAGGUUAGUAGGAUUCAAAUCAGCAAUCCUGUUGAAUUCGCUGUUCCUGAAAGAUGGGGAAGAGAUUCUAGCAAUCUCUUCAAUCAAUUGUUGUUGUUGUUGCUGCUGCUGUUGACGACGAGGACUAUCCAGACCAAGCAGUUCCAUCUCAAGAUCAAGAUCCCUUGCACUCAAAGCACUCUUCAACCGGCUACCUGGGAGCUGCAACGAUGGUGGAGUGAGGUUUAAUUUGUUCUGCCACAUGUUUCCACUCUUGGGAGAUGAUGAACCUGCCAAGGGAGACAUGGGCGGCGUUGAAACAGUGGACAUAGGCAAAGAUGAGGAGCUUAGAGACAGCGGACUCAUCGAUGUCAUGUCCAUUCCACUAGCUGAAUAGGACUUAGGUGAAGGCAUAGCUGACCCAGUGGAAGCAUACACGGGGCGCAGCUCUUCGGGUCUGUGAGCAAAGAAGCAGACUUUUCUAUUGCAGCCAGUCUCGUCCUUGCAAAGCCUUGUUCGGUAUUGUGCGGGAUGUAGCCAUGACUCGAAAACACCAUGUGCAUACUCACAAGAAUCCCCUUUCUGGCAAGACCCUUUGCGAAACUCUGGGCAGGGAACACAGCUGUAAGGGUAUUUCCUUGGGUCUCUCCUCCUUGCAUUCUCACCUGGAUGAACAAAGGGACACUCCGUCCAAUCGUGAGAGUAAGCCCUCGAGCAUGGCUUCACCUUGAAACUGUACAUCCUAAACUCAUCUGAUCCAUAUACACCGUUGUUUAUGUCGGGCAACGAUAUAUCAAUAGGAAACUCUUUCUUAUCACCACCUUCUUUUUUCAAUGAGAAAGGAGCAUCCAUCUCCCCUUGGAUGAGUUCAGCACUUACCUCACCUCUCAAAAACAUCUCCAAUACCUUCCUACGCGAUUUGGACGACGAAUUAAAGGCCGGUGCAAUCAGAUCAACUGGUUUAUUUCCACUGGCAUCAAGACAAUCAGCAUCUGCACCGGCAUCAAGCAAGAGCUUGACAACCUCGAGCAAAAACUCAGAACCACCAGCAACAGCACAAUGAAGAGCAGUGGCCAUAUCGGAACCACAAACUCCGUUGACAUCAACCUUCCCUGCCGAAACAAUAUACUCGACCACUCUAGUGCUUCCAAACAUGGAAGCAAUCAUAAGAGGAGUCCUCUUUUCGGAUUCCAUCUUCUUCGAUCCAAUUCUUCUACCAUACCAAAAGCCUUCCUCAUUCACAUCCAAAUCCUUCUCAUCUACUUCCCUCUUGAAAGCAUCAAAAUCAUCAGAUGCAGACAAUUCAAGCAAGAUUGAGGAGUUGUGGAUACCCAUUUGAAGCUUAUCCUCCAUGGCACAGUCUGAUGAAGAAAGUUUACUCUUUGAACCACUGCACAUAAUCCAAAUCCUGCACAAUAGACCAGUACAUAAUCAAUACAACUUUUCAAUUCAAAAAAUUUAAUAUUCACACAGCACAAGAUAAAUAAUCAAAAUUUCUCAUUUCCAUCAAUAUCUAAAACAACAACCUUGUUUCAAAUCCCAAAAUAAUAGAUCCAUAAAAAUAUUUUCAACUAAACAAGACAACACCUUGGUAUUCCAAAACCAAUCAUGGUUACAAAACAAAAUGAGUACAAAAACAAGUAGCAACCUAAAUCUAAAACAAAAGCUUGAAACUUUGAUCUACCCAAAAACAGACCCACUAAAUAUUUUUCUCAAAACCCACCAAAAACAACUUAAGAUGAAACAAAAAAAAAAAUCAAAAGAUUGAAACUUUGAUUUACAUAAGUAGACCAACAAAAUAUUUUUCCUCAAACCCACCAAAAACAACCUAAGAUCAAACAAAAACACACACAAAAACAUAACUUUAGAAGUAAUUGAAACACGAAAAGAUUAAAAAACAUACCUUUAGAUUAGUAGAGAUGAAGUAUAAGACAACACUUGAAUAAGCUUUUGUUGUUGUUUUUGCUGAUGUUUGAAGUGAGAGAGUAAGAAAA
rnacentral:lncRNA from 1 species